rnacentral:rRNA from 1 species
AAGCUUCUCUGGUCCUUCACUAACCGGGGCUAAAAGUCCUGAAAUCGAAAAUGCCAAAAUAGGAAUAAGGCUUGCUAUUAUUAGAAAUGUCCAAAAAAUAUCAUAUUCGUGAAGCAGAAACAUAAUGUACUCCCAUUAAUGUGGAAUAGGCGGAACUUAAAUUAGUCAAUUCAAUUCAGCAUUGUCAAUUUAUCCAGAACUUCUCUCUUUUCCUCGGUGAAAGAAGAAUCUUUUUUGUUCAAACAAAAGCGCUUAGUUUAGCCUUUGUUUCCUCUGUGCUGCAUCUUCUUUAAAGAUUCAUCCAAUGGAAUCCCAACUCCCUUUCUUUUGGAUUUCCAUUCUAUUUAGAUAUGGUGUAUGUAGAUCUAAUUCUUAUAUAAAGAAAACUUUCUCGUUUCACUUUGUCUUGCUUUCUCUAGAAUCUCUAGAAAAAAGAAUAGCUCUAUCCUUUAUUUAAUAUUUAAUAAUAAAAUAAUAAGAGACUAUUAAAUAAAAAUGAGAAUACUACUAAAUUAGAACCUAAUUAAGAUAGUAGGACUAAUCUAUGCAGUA